GGUGAGGCAUUUGGGAUCUUGCUGGAUUAUGGUAUGGUUGCUCACUAAUUACCUCUUCUUUUUAAUCUCUGGGUGAUCCCCUCUGAUAUCAACAAAUCUUUGCUUUCUAAAAAGCAAGGUAGCGCUAAGGGAGUCAUUUUGGAUUUUGUGGCAAUUUAAUUUUUUUUUUUUUUUUUGAGACAGAGUCUCACUCUGUUGCCCAGGCUGGAGUACAGUAGUGCCGUCUCGUCUCACGGCAGCCUCCACCUCCCAGGUUCAGGCAAUUCUCCUGCCUUAGCCUCCCGAGUAGCUGGGAUGACAAGAGUGUGCCACCAUGCCUGGCUAACUCUUUUUUUUUUUUUUUUAAGUAGAGAUAGCGUUUCACCAUGUUGGCCAGGCUAGUCUCGAACUCCUGACCUCAGGUGAUCCACUUGCCUUGGCCUCCCAAAGUGCUGGGAUUACAAGCAUGAGCCACUGCGCCUGGCAGCAAUUGAAAUUUGUGUCCAUAAUUUAGUUCAGGGCAACACCUCCCCGCCCCAUAUUCUUUGGCAGAGGUUUGAACCCCAUAUUCUUUGACAGAGGUUUGAACCUAAUGAAAGAGGGAAGGAAUUUAGUUUUGAUGUUAGAGACUUUUUUCUUACCAGGGACACUUGAAUCAAUAUGUUAAAAUUUGAAGAGAGGAACCUAUUUCCUGACAUAAAACCUUGGUGGUAGUUCUGGUUUUUUUUUUUUCUUCUUCUUUUUUUAUUUUUGAGACAGGGUCUCACUGUGUCGCCCAGGCUGGCUGGCAUGCAGUGGUGCUCAAGUGAUCCUCCAGCCUGUGCCUCCUGAGUAGCUGGGACAACAAGCACAAGCCACCAGACUAGGAGUUAGAGUACUCUUGGUGGAGAGAGCUUAGAAUCACUUGGAAAACUGUGUAAACUCUAGUGACCUGCCCUCUCUGUGCCAUAGUGUUUGAUUGUUGAAAGGAUCAAGUAUGUUAAUGUAUAUACUAGUACUUUUUAGCUGAACAGAGAAAAUUUAUGUUUAGAUUCUAUCCAUCUCAUUGAUUCUUUCUAUUAAAGACAGAUGAUCCUGGCACACUUUUGCUUAAAUUUUAUUUCAGUGUUCUGUGUUUGGCAAUUUGGACUUGGCCUGUAAUAUCUUCUGUUGCUGAACCCUUUCUUCUCUUCAUCGCUCUUCCAUACCAUCUGUAGCUAUGAUUGUCUGUAGUUGUCACCAGAGACUUUGUUGCUCUUUAAAUAGUAUAUUGUAUGUUACAAAAUACAUAAUUUCUACCUACCAAUUUUCUGAUCUUAUGGUCUAUUUUCAUAUCUUAUGGUCAUGAGCUAAAAAUUAAUGUUUGCUUAUUGGGGAGGGGCAUGAUAGCAGCAGGCUGGAGACCUUCAGGUGAGGCUUUGAUUUCAGUGAUAGGUGAGGAUUGAAUUCAUGAAUGGCUUGCAAAUAUUGUGGGACUGGCCUUGUACCUCAAUCAGUUUGUGUAACAUUUUAGAAUGUAGUAGCUUUUCUCCAUUGUCAUUUGAAUUUUGAUGAAUAAUGAUUUAUUUUUCUGUCUUUAAAAAGGGUUUUUUUUUUUCCUGAGAUAGAGUCUAG
rnacentral:lncRNA from 1 species